rnacentral:rRNA from 1 species
CCUACGGGUGGCAGCAGUGGGGAAUAUUGCACAAUGGGCGCAAGCCUGAUGCAGCCAUGCCGCGUGUGUGAAGAAGGCCUUCGGGUUGUAAAGCACUUUCAGCGGGGAGGAAGGCGUUAAGGUUAAUAACCUUGGCGAUUGACGUUACCCGCAGAAGAAGCACCGGCUAACUCCGUGCCAGCAGCCGCGGUAAUACGGAGGGUGCAAGCGUUAAUCGGAAUUACUGGGCGUAAAGCGCACGCAGGCGGGCUGUCAAGUCGGAUGUGAAAUCCCCGGGCUCAACCUGGGAACUGCAUUCGAAACUGGCAGGCUAGAGUCUUGUAGAGGGGGGUAGAAUUCCAGGUGUAGCGGUGAAAUGCGUAGAGAUCUGGAGGAAUACCGGUGGCGAAGGCGGCCCCCUGGACAAAGACCGACGCUCGGGUGCGAAAGCGUGGGGAGCAAACAGGAUUAGAUACCCGGGUAGUC